GAAUACUCAAAUCACAAGCCAGAAAAUGAAGACUGCAAUCACUUUUACUCUGGAACAGAAUAUUUAGAAGGUGAAGAUGCGGAACUCUCAUGGUUCAAUGCUGGCGUUAGGGUAGGUNNNNNNUCGGCCUAAGCAUUUGUCUUGGAAUUGGGAUAGGCGUGGGAUUGCUGGUUCAAACAUAUCAAGGCACGACACGCAACUUUAGAAGGCGGCUACCAUAAUUAAAGAUUUUCCUGAUGCUAUUAUGGCAUUAUACUUUAUUUUCUUCCACUUAUAAUCCUGAAGCUGACUCUUGGUGUUUCCA
rnacentral:misc_RNA from 1 species